GGCGGACCGGUGCGGCCCGGCCGUUAAACCCCAACUCUUUAUGGUUGACCUCGGAUCAGGUAGGAAUACCCGCUGAACUUAAGCAUAUCAAUAAGCGGAGGAAAAGAAACCAACAGGGAUUGCCCCAGUAACGGCGAGUGAAGCGGCAACAGCUCAAAUUUGAAAUCUGGCCUCGGCCCGAGUUGUAAUUUGCAGAGGAUGCCUUUGGCGCGGUGCCUUCCGAGUUCCCUGGAACGGGACGCCACAGAGGGUGAGAGCCCCGUAUGGUCGGACACCAAGCCUUUGUAAGGCUCCUUCGACGAGUCGAGUAGUUUGGGAAUGCUGCUCAAAAUGGGAGGUAAAUCUCUUCUAAAGCUAAAUAUUGGCCAGAGACCGAUAGCGCACAAGUAGAGUGAUCGAAAGAUGAAAAGCACCUUGAAAAGGGGGUUAAACAGUACGUGAAAUUGUUGAAAGGGAAGGGCUCGUGACCAGACUUGUGCCAGGCGGCUCAUCCGGCGUUCUCGUCGGUGCACUCCGCCUGGCUCAGGCCAGCAUCGGUUCUUGCCGGGGGAUAAGAGCUCCGGGAACGUGGCCCCCUUCGGGGGGUGUUAUAGCCCGUUGCACGAUGCCCUGGCGGGGACCGAGGUUCGCGCUCCGCAAGGAUGCUGGCGUAAUGGUCACCAACCACCCGUCUUGAAACACGGACCAAGGAGUCGUCCAUCAGAGCGAGCGUUUGGGUGUCAAACCCGCACGCGUAAUGAAAGUGAACGCAGGUGAGAGCUUCGGCGCAUCAUCGACCGAUCCUGAUGUCUUCGGAUGGAUUUGAGUAAGAGUUUUGCUGGACGGACCCGAAAGACAGUGAACUAUGCUUGUAUAGGGUGAAGCCAGAGGAAACUCUGGUGGAGGCUCGCAGCGGUUCUGACGUGCAAAUCGAUCGUCAAAUAUGAGCAUGGGGGCGAAAGACUAAUCGAACUGUCUAGUAGCUGGUUACCGC
rnacentral:rRNA from 1 species